CAUAAUGAAGCUCCGAACGUAACUCAUCACUCAUCUCCGUACCAAAACCAACCAAACUGUCAUUUCUUCAUAUCGCCAUGGCUACUUAUCUCCAUCUCACUCACCUUCAACAUCUCUCCCCAAUAACCCCUCAAAACUCUAACUCCCCUCUCGUUUCACCAAUCCCGAGGCACUCCAUUUCGUUCCUUCACAGCCGUUGGAUCAAAACCACACACUCCUUAUCUACACGCUCUACCACACGAUCGUCUCUCGUAUCGGCUGAUGUUGUAACGGAGCAGACUAACAAGCCUACUCUCCGGGAGCUCUGUCAAGGUCACGUGCCUGAACACGUGCUGCGCCGGUGCGUUUUUAUCGCUUUACGUUUUGAAUAAUUGAACUGUUCUCGUGGCGCUCGCUUGCUUUCGUUCUCGUUAUAAUUUAAGCUAUAGUUUGUAAUUGAUGAUAAAUGUCAAAUAAAAUCUAAUUUGUUGAUGUGUUUUUUUUCUGAAUUUUUAUUGUGAUUGAUGCUGCUGAAAUCUCCAGUGCUAAUUAACUUAUUGUAUUGUACGUUUAUCUGCUUAAAUUUAGCUGUAAUGUUACUCUAGAACAUGUAAAUUAAAUAUUUAGUUCGGGUUGUGAUUGAUAAUAUUGACAUAUAUAGGUCUUUUUGUGGCUUAUUUUUACUUGUGAGUAUGCUAAGUUAUAUAUUUAUGAAUUGUUGCAGCGGGGAAGAGGUCGGAUUUGUGCUACCUACGGAUGUCCAGGAGCAGGCUCUGCCAAUCCUGUUUUCUGGCCGUGAUUGUAUACUCCAUUCGCAGGUCACUAUUUUGUCUGAGAUCCUUGUUUUAUAAUAAUUUGGAGAGAGUUGUCUGCCAAAAUAUUGUUCAUUCAUGUGUUUUGAUAGUCACAGAAUUUAUGCUAAAAAAUCCGAUGAUAAUGUUGGCCAUAUUAAGUAGUAUUUGUUAUCUCCGAACUUCUUUCGCAUGUUCUGAUUAGUAUGCAGUCAUUGGGACGCAGCUUAAGACAUAUCAACUAUCAAGAUAAAAUAGCUUUAUAUCUCAUUUGUUUCGCACUGGACUUGUAUCCCUAAUUUUUUUCCGACAAUAAAAUGUAACUUCAUAUAGGCCUGGGAAGCAACAUAUAUACUGUAGCACCACGAGGACUGUUUUAUGCAUCCUCCUUAAGAAUCUGGUAGAUUGAUUAUUUUCCAGCUUAACAGUAUUGAUAUAAUGAAUUAGAUAGAGUUUAGUAUAUAUAUAUGCUAGUCAAACAUUGGAAGUUGUUACAUUUUGAAAAAACAUACAAAAAGUUGCUUUGAAAAGAGAAGUGGACAAGUAAUUUGGGACAAAUUUUUUUUUCAAAAGGGACAUGUAAAAAGGGACGGAGGGAGUAUAUCUUUUGGUUAUAUAUGUAAGGAAAUACUAUAAUUUAUACUAAUUCGGUAUAAUUUUAAGUUUAAAAAAAAAUCGAUAUAAUUUUAUAGAUUAUUUUAGUUUUCUUCAAUUUUAAAUAAAGAUAUUAUUAUAAAUAAAAAUUUAAACAUAAAUUAUAAAAUUAUAUUCUAAUAUAAUUUAGAAUGUUUUUAAUAAAAAAAAUGGCCUGACAAAAGAUGUAUCAAUCACUCGAUUAUUUUGUAGAUAUAAUAAGAAAGUUAAUUUCAGGUUUUUCUAAUAUGUGCUUGUCGCAUAUAAUAGUUAUUUUUUUAGGUGAAAUUUUUUAUUGUUAAAAUUUUUUAUCUCCGUUCAUUAUUAACGAAAUCGAUGUAAAUAAAAUCUACGGUCUAAAUAAAGUUGAUUGUUAUUAUUUGAAACUGACAAAUACUAGGAAAUUAGUUAAUUUAAUAUACUGCUCUGUGUUUUUAUUCUGGCGGUGGAAGAUGAUAAUUAUGUUUAUGACUUUGAGCGGGUAAAAGGUCAAAAGAAGGGAAUAGAAAAUACGGUAACACACAUGGAGGAUGAGCGGAGUUUGGCUGUGGAAUUGAUCAACUUGUAGACUUGUGUUUUGUCUUUAACCUUUGAACUCGGUGAGAACAAUAUCCUAUCUUUUAUUUACGAUUUUAAAUCAUCAAAUUCUUGUAGAUAUUUACUUGUAGAAAAUAAUAUUCAAUGAUGAUCGUAAGAGAUUUUUACGAAUCAAUACUAGUUGAAAUUUUUAACAAAUAAAUGUAACACUAUGUACCUGAUUCUAAUUUUAAUAAUCUUUUAUAAUUUAAUAAUAACUAAUGAAUUUUAAUAGAUUAAAUGUGAUAGUAUUAGUUAACAAUACAACUAGAGAAAUGUUAUAUUCAGAGCAAUCUUUUAAUAUCCAGAGCAAUUUGUAAAAAUUUGUAUCGAAAGUGUAUGAUUUGUGUAGAUGCAAGGGGAGCUGAGAAUUGAAUAUUAAAAACGUUGCUCUAGAUUUAACAUUUUCCUACAACUAUUGAAAGGAUUAUAAAAAUAUACUCCCUCCGUCCCACCCGAUUCUUUACAGUUUCCUUAUUUGGCCGUCCCACCCAUUUCUUUACAUCACAAAACUUUCCUAAAAUAGUUAAUGGGUCCCACCAUUUUCCCACUUUUCCUUUCUUUUCACACUACUUUUACUCCACCAACUCUCUUUUAUAUAUUAAAAAUCAAUGGGUCUCACCACUUCACCCACUUUUCCUUCUCUUUUCCACUACUUUAUACAUAUUUCUAAACCUCCGUGCCCAAACCCAAUGUAAAGAAUUGGGUGGGACGGAGGGAGUAUUGAAUAUGAUCUUUUAAUUUUUUAAACAUUUCUUAACUGUAUUCAAAAUAAAACACAGUGAUAAGUAGAAUACACAUAUAGUUAAUGGGAAAAAAUUCAAAAAGUUUAGGUGGAUUUAAUUUUUUACUAGAAAAUAUUUUAUAUGAACAACUCUUAUGUGGUGAAAUAUAAAUAAAGAGCUAGCUUUUACCAAAUAUUUCAUCACAUUAGAGCAUCUCUCAUGAUCGUAAAAAUCAAGAACUGAAAUCAUUAAGUUGUCCUACUGAUCUGAUAUUAAUCAAUUUUUUCUACUAAAUCAAAUAAUUAAAUGAGAGUAUAAUCGGUGAAUCAGCACAAUAUUUCAUCCAAUCAACAGUGAAUUCUUUAACAGAACAGGAUUCUUUCAGAACACUCUAAACAAGAGAGGGUUGGGCUUUUUUUAUUGGAUAGCUAAGUCCAGGUGAUACUCUUCUCCAACAGGCCCAUAAUGAAGCUCCGAACGUAACUCAUCACUCAUCUCCGUACCAAAACCAACCAAACUGUCAUUUCUUCAUAUCGCCAUGGCUACUUAUCUCCAUCUCACUCACCUUCAACAUCUCUCCCCAAUAACCCCUCAAAACUCUAACUCCCCUCUCGUUUCACCAAUCCCGAGGCACUCCAUUUCGUUCCUUCACAGCCGUUGGAUCAAAACCACACACUCCUUAUCUACACGCUCUACCACACGAUCGUCUCU
rnacentral:lncRNA from 1 species